AAGCAAAGAUUUUUUACUCAAUUUUAAUUUUAUUGAUAAAAGAAGUUUAGCUAUUAAAAACAUGAAGUAAAUAUAUAUACUUUUUCUUAAGGUCUGAAGCAUCUGGAAGUUGUAUGUACAGCUCUACAUCAUUAUUUUUUGUUGCUGACAAUACACUGAUGGAUGUGUUAAGAGUUUUAACAUCCCUUGAAAUUUAUAUACAUGCUGAUUAUUACUUGAAGUUAAAUUUAGUGAAUUGCCACGAUGCCAAAUCAAGCAAAGAAUCAUGAUGAAAAUCGAAAGUUUGAGUGCUUCCUCUGUCUGAAAAAAUGUUUAAGACAGCUUACUACUUUUCAAACAGAUCGAAUAUGCCAACUGUACAAGACCAAGAAUAAUAUCAAUGAUACUUGGGUACCAAAAGAGUUCUGCGAAUCGUGUAGAAUUACUUUGCUCAGGAAACAAGAGGGGAAAGAAGGUGCACUUCCUCCUUUAUUUGAUUUUAAGUCAAUACAAGUGAGACCUGAAACAAGAAGCACGAUGUUUUGUUGCCUAUUAUGCUGAAUUGGUCGUUUAAAGCUGCAAGAAAAACAUCCUCUUAUAGAGCAAACCACGAUUGAGAAAAAAGGUGCGUUGCAGCAAAUGCCUCAGCCCUUUGGGAAAAGGUUUGCCCCACUAAUGCUCUCAAAUAAUGUUAAGGGAAAACAUUCAAUUUUUAGCAGCAAAAGAUGCCAAAUCAUCCGAAAAAAUCGCAUCUCGAGUUAUUUCCAAUGAAGAAUUAUCUUUGGAAGGAACUAUUCUACUGGCUAAAGCAGCCGGCGGGCCUCCACUUACAGUUACCCCUGGUCAAAGUAGUGCUCCGACAACAUCAAGUGCGAAAUAAUAAUUGUCUAGAGUACAAAGAAAGAUUGCGCUGCAUAAUUGAUUAAAACAGUAAGCAUCUUUAAAGAACAUCAUUAGAGUUAUUAGAAAUUAGGCUGAUGAAAUUCAUAUUUUACGGCGUAUAAUGAA